rnacentral:pre_miRNA from 1 species
CAACUACUCCCUCUGUCCCAAAUUUCUUGUCUUAGAUUUGUCUACAUACGGAUGUAUCUAAUACUAAAAUGUGACUUGAUACAUCCGUAUCUAGACAAAUCUAAGACAAGAAUUUUGGGACGGAGAGAGUACUUU